GACGUAGGGGGCGAGCGUUGUCCGGAUUUAUUGGGCGUAAAGCGUGCGUAGGCGGCUGCGCAAGUCGGGUGUGAAACCCCGGGGCUCAACCCCGGAACUGCAUCCGAUACUGCGUGGCUAGAGGUAGGUAGGGGAGAUCGGAAUUCCCGAUGUAGCGGUGAAAUGCGUAGAGAUCGGGAAGAACAUCGGUGGCGAAAGCGGGUCUCUGGGCAACAACUGACGCUGAGGAGCGAAAGCGUGGGGAGCGAACAGG
rnacentral:rRNA from 1 species